rnacentral:rRNA from 2 species
AACGAACGCUGGCGGCAGGCCUAACACAUGCAAGUCGAGCGAGACCUUCGGGCUAGCGGCGGACGGGUUAGUAACGCGUGGGAAUAUACCCUUCACUACGGAAUAGCCUCGGGAAACUGGGAGUAAUACCGUAUACGCCCUUUGGGGGAAAGAUUUAUCGGUGAAGGAUUAGCCCGCGUCUGAUUAGAUAGUUGGUGGGGUAAUGGCCUACCAAGUCUACGAUCAGUAGCUGGUUUGAGAGGAUGAUCAGCAACACUGGGACUGAGACACGGCCCAGACUCC